UACGGAGGGUGCAAGCGUUAUCCGGAUUCACUGGGUUUAAAGGGUGCGUAGGUGGCAGGUAAGUCGAGUGGUGAAAUCUCUGGGCUUAACCCGGAACUGCCGUUGAUACUAUCUGUCUUGAAUAUAGUGGAGGUGAGCGGAAUAUGUCAUGUAGCGGUGAAAUGCUUAGAUAUGACAUAGAACAUCGAUUGCGAAGGCAGCUCGCUACACUAUGAUUGACACUGAGGCACGAAAGCGUGGGGAUCAAACAGG
rnacentral:rRNA from 1 species